CCUACGGGUGGCAGCAGUGGGGAAUAUUGCACAAUGGGCGCAAGCCUGAUGCAGCCAUGCCGCGUGUGUGAAGAAGGCCUUCGGGUUGUAAAGCACUUUCAGCGGGGAGGAAGGCGGUGAGGUUAAUAACCUCAUCGAUUGACGUUACCCGCAGAAGAAGCACCGGCUAACUCCGUGCCAGCAGGCGCGGUAAUACGGAGGGUGCAAGCGUUAAUCGGAAUUACUGGGCGUAAAGCGCACGCAGGCGGUCUGUCAAGUCGGAUGUGAAAUCCCCGGGCUCAACCUGGGAACUGCAUUCGAAACUGGCAGGCUAGAGUCUUGUAGAGGGGGGUAGAAUUCCAGGUGUAGCGGUGAAAUGCGUAGAGAUCUGGAGGAAUACCGGUGGCGAAGGCGGCCCCCUGGACAAAGACUGACGCUCAGGUGCGAAAGCGUGGGGAGCAAACAGGAUUAGAUACCCGUGUAGUC
rnacentral:rRNA from 1 species